UGACAAUCAAAGGAAUAUUUAUAAACAUAAUAUUUAUUAAUUAUUUUUGUGUGCCUCUGGGGAGCAUGGAUAUGUCAAUUUAAUGGACAUGGACUAAUCUCAAACACAGACACAGUACAAACACACAGUCAUCUCCAAAAUCACAAAACACCAUUUUGUAUGUACAAAUUUGCUUCUUUCAAUAACUUACCAAUAACUUAAAGGUCCAGUGUGUAGUAUUUAGCAUCUUACCAAGUCUGUUCCUUUAGCAUCUAAAGGAACAGACUUGGUAAAAAUUGAAUAGAUUACGUAUAAGUAUAUCUUAAUUAGUGUCUAAUCAGCUGAAAAUAAUAAUUGUUGUGUUUUCGUUACCUUAGAAAUAAGCCCUUUAUACCUACACGGGAGCGGGUCCCCCUCUACGGUGGCGGCCAUGUUGCAUUGCCAUGUUUCUACAGUAGCACAGAAUGGACAAACCUAACACUGGCUCCAAUGAGGGCCUUACGUGUUUUAGAUUCAGUGGGCAACUACCGGAAAUGCACCGGUUUUAAAACGAAGAAGAGGAACGGACCAAACAUUUUGUGUAGUAAGAAGUUUUUGAAACCAAAAUCUGAUAAAUGGAGGAUCAUACUUAUUUAGAAAAUCACAGGAGCGUGAAUUGUCAUCGUCAUAGAAACGAAAAGACGAAGAAGCUAAACGAAAGUUUCCAUUUACUGCUGGACAGGCACUAUAGGUUGGCAUUAUUCACCAUGUCUGUGACAUUCACACCUGCCAUAUCAGAAGUAUUGCAGACCAAGUCAGGAGAGGUCUAGAAGCAGUUUUCCAUGCAGCUGCUGCUCUACACACUGCUUCUGGAGCAGAUGAGGAACAGCAGUGCCAGUGAAUCAUGGGUGCUGUUCCUGCCAUGAGAGCAUCUUCAUCCAGAGCAAAAAGAGGAGUCUCCCUGAUGUGUGAGGACACACGCUGAUGAAGCUACAAUCAUGAGGUCAAAGAACGCACCAACAACAGUUUUCACUGGAACUACCAAAGAAAUAGUCCCUAUGACAACAGUUCAGAGUGAGUUCUGUUCAUUAUCAAGAGUAACUGGGGCACUAUUCGGGAAAACUAUACUGCUGCUGAAUUUUUCAAAUAACUGAAUUCUAUUCUCUUCCAUUGUACGGGCAUGGAGGCAAAAAUCUCAGAGACUGAUUUCUAAAAACCCAGACAAAUAAAACCAAAAUGUGUUUUCAUUGUAAUUUAGGUGAACUGACCCUUUAACAAAGGCCACAGACUACAUUUUGUAUAAAUUUAAUAAAUUCUCAUAGACAUUCAUUCUGGUUUGCACAUAUAGAACAGUACUGAAAAUGUGUAUGUUUGUCAAAUAACAACAAAGUUGCUGCAUUGUCUAUUUGACUUGUUCAGAAUGAAGUAUAAGUUAUUGUGCAAUUAAAACAAAAUUUGGUGAUUUCAAAUGUUUCAGGUAAACUAAAUAAUUAUGUUAGGGCAUUUACAGAAAAUAUAACUAGACAGUUAACUAAAUAAAUAAAAUAUAAAGAUGACAAUUUUAAUUUUGGUGUCUGGUCAAAUGUUUCCAGGGGAGGGUGUUAAAUUCAUACUGCAAUUCCUACUUGCAAAUUCUACUAAAAUUCCUGCAGGUAAGUAAGAGCUAUUGUGCACACAGAAAUAAAGAAGUGGGAAAUGAAUGACUGUAGUGCACCAGUAAAGAGGAAAUGACAGAACAAGGUUGGAUUUAUCAGGCAAAGUUAGCAACCCCUGGAGCCCCAGAAUUCCAGGGUGAAUUCCAUGGGCCCUACAAGUUCCAAGCUUACUGUAUGUCAUGCUGGUUUUAUGCUGGUUUCUGCUUAUUUAAUUUAGAGUUGAUUUGGGAAUGUAGACCACUGAAGCAUUAUGUCAGUCACAUGAUAAUGGUCUUUAGGUGGGUCCUGCUUUAUUACCUGAUCUUGGGGCCUUGUGUUUAGGGAUGUGCAGAGA